GAACGUUUUCUGAUUGUAAAGCUCUGUUGCCGAGGAAGAACGCUCAGGAGAGUAGCUGCUCUUGAGGUGACGGUACUUGAGAAAAAAGCCCCGGCUAACUACGUGCCAGCAGCCGCGGUAAUACGUAGGGGGCAAGCGUUGUCCGGAAUUAUUGGGCGUAAAGCGCGCGCAGGCGGCGAUGUAAGUUGGAUGUUUAAACCUAGGGCUCAACCUUGGGUCGCAUCCCAAAACUGGAUGGGUUGAAUGCAUGAAAAGAAAGUGGAAUUCCCCGUGUAACGGUGAAAUGCCUAAAGAUGUGGAGGAACACCCGUGGGGAAAGGGACUUUCUGGGCUGUAACUGACCCUGAGGCGCGAAAGCGUGGGGAGCAAACAGGAUUAAAUACCCUGGUAAUCCCCGCCCUAAACGAUGAAUGCUAUGUGUUAUGGGUUUCUAUACCCUUGGUGCCGAAGUUAACACAUUAAACAUUCCGCCUGGGGAGUACGGUCGCAAGACUGAAACUCAAAGGAAUUGACGG
rnacentral:rRNA from 1 species